GAUGAACGCUGGCGGCGUGCCUAAUACAUGCAAGUCGAGCGAACGGACGAGAAGCUUGCUUCUCUGAUGUUAGCGGCGGACGGGUGAGUAACACGUGGAUAACCUACCUAUAAGACUGGGAUAACUUCGGGAAACCGGAGCUAAUACCGGAUAAUAUUUUGAACCGCAUGGUUCAAACGUGAAAGACGGUCUUGCUGUCACUUAUAGAUGGAUCCGCUCUGCAUUAGCUCGUUGGUAAGGUAACGGCUUACCAAGGCAACGAUGCAUAGCCGACCUGAGAGGGUGAUCGGCCACACUGGAACUGAGACACGGUCCAGACUCCUACGGGAGGCAGCAGGAGGGAAUCGUGCGCAAUGAGCGAAGGCCUGACGGAGCAACGCCGCGUGAGUGAUGAAGGUCUUCUGAUCGUAAAACUCUGUUAGUAGGGAAGAACAGAUGUGUAAGUAACUGUGCACAUCUUGACGGUACCUAAUCAGAAAGCCACGGCUAACUACGUG
rnacentral:rRNA from 1 species